rnacentral:rRNA from 1 species
UACGUAGGUGGCGAGCGUUGUCCGGAAUUACUGGGUGUAAAGGGCGUGUAGGCGGGAAUGCAAGUUGGAUGUGAAAUUCCGGGGCUUAACCUCGGCGCUGCAUCCGAAACUGCAUUUCUUGAGUACUGGAGAGGAAAGCGGAAUUCCUAGUGUAGCGGUGAAAUGCGUAGAUAUUAGGAGGAACAUCAGUGGCGAAGGCGGCUUUCUGGUCAAGUACUGACGCUGAAGUGCGAAAGCGUGGGGAGCAAACAGG